UCCUGGUUUCCCAGGCAGUCCCAUUAGAGUGCCUUCUUACGAAGUAGCAACUAAUGGCAAGGGUUGCGCUCGUUAUAGGACUUAACCCAACAUCUCACGACACGAGCUGACGACAGCCAUGCAACACCUGUGAAAUUGUCUUAGGUUUCCCUAAGAAAGCACUGUUUCCAGUGCGGUCAAAAACAUGUCAAGCCUAGGUAAGGUUCCUCGCGUAGUGUCGAAUUAAACCACAUGUUCCACCGCUUGUGCGGACCCCCGUCAAUUCCUUUGAGUUUUAAUCUUGCGACCGUAAUCCCCAGGCGGAUCACUUAACGCGUUAGCUACGACACUGAUUUUGCAAGCAAAAUCAACGCCUAGUGAUCAUCGUUUACGGCGUGGACUAC
rnacentral:misc_RNA from 1 species